rnacentral:rRNA from 1 species
AACGAUGAUCUCCAGCUUGCUGGGGGGAUUAGUGGCGAACGGGUGAGUAACACGUGAGUAACCUGCCCUUAACUCUGGGAUAAGCCUGGGAAACUGGGUCUAAUACCGGAUAUGACUCCUCAUCGCAUGGUGGGGGGUGGAAAGCUUUUGUGGUUUUGGAUGGACUCGCGGCCUAUCAGCUUGUUGGUGAGGUAAUGGCUCACCAAGGCGACGACGGGUAGCCGGCCUGAGAGGGUGACCGGCCACACUGGGACUGAGACACGGCCCAGACUCCUACGGGAGGCAGCAGUGGGGAAUAUUGCACAAUGGGCGCAAGCCUGAUGCAGCGACGCCGCGUGAGGGAUGACGGCCUUCGGGUUGUAAACCUCUUUCAGUAGGGAAGAAGCGAAAGUGACGGUACCUGCAGAAGAAGCGCCGGCUAACUACGUGCCAGCAGCCGCGGUAAUACGUAGGGCGCAAGCGUUAUCCGGAAUUAUUGGGCGUAAAGAGCUCGUAGGCGGUUUGUC